GGCAACGUGGCUGAGUGGUUAAACCGUAUGACUAGGGGUCAUAUCUCUUCGGGGUCGUAGGUUCAAAUCCUGCCAUUGUCG
rnacentral:tRNA from 1 species